CGGGGUGAGUAAUGUCUGGGAAACUGCCUGAUGGAGGGGGAUAACUGCUGGAAACGGUAGCUAAUACCGCAUAACGUCGCAAGACCAAAGAGGGGGACCUUCGGGCCUCCUGCCAUCGGAUGUGCCCAGAUGGGAUUAGCUAGUAGGUGGGGUAACGGCUCACCUAGGCGACGAUCCCUAGCUGGUCUGAGAGGAUGCCAGCCACACUGGAACUGAGACACGGUCCAG
rnacentral:rRNA from 1 species